GUAAUGCACCCUUAGCGUCGGUCAACAUUUCAUUAAUCAAAAAAUAUGUUGUAUUUAAAAGACAACAAGUACGACGUUAUACUAAAAACAACAUUUCCUACUAGGCAUAUAAUAUAUGCGAGAUAUCAAUCGCUAGGGAAAAUGAUGGAAAAUGGAAUUCAAAUUAAAUCAAUCCAAAAGUAUCAACAUAGUUGCGCAUCAGAUUGUAUUCACCAAGUGAAUUUAUUUUAGUGGAAGUAAAACAUGGCGUUCUUCAAUAUCACAGGAACAACCUUUUCUCAGCCUCACACUUCACCACCAGCUGCUCAAUCUGCAAAAGGUUUUGAAAACAUUUGCAGAGCUGAAUACUAGUGUACUCAGUGGGUUGAGCCAUUUAAAAACAUUUUGAAAGCUAUUUACUGAAAAGAUAAUUCAUGAUUUAAUCAAUAUAACACAAAAUAAACGUGUCAUUCCAUGCAUACUAAAAAUAAUCUGAGCUCAUAUUUUCUUGGCUCAUCUAUUGGGCGCUAUCUACAACCAGUCGUCAUCGAUCUCUCGAGCCAACAAGUUCUGGUGUACGUACACAAUUCUGGUUAGCAGAGCUAACAAAGUUCUGAUUGGCGAAGCCAACAAUGUUAUGGUAGAAGCAAUAACCAAUAGAGAACAAAAACAUUUUAAGCAUGAACCAUCAACUUUAACAUUUCAUAAAAACAAGCUUAUUAGCUCAAACAUACAUUUCAUAAAUAAAGUCUUACUUGAUUGCUGAUAAUCCAAACAAUUAAACCGAGUUGAUCAGAAUCCUAAGUAUCCUCUUCUGUAAGUCCUACAAGAUAAGUUCUCAACUUAAGCUCGUAGUUCUAAAGUAAACCUUAACCUUAUUCAUAAUUCGUCAUCACUUUCUAACUAGAUUCGCAUUAUCCGAAUUUUCAAAAGAAUUCAACAUAAAACUUGAAAAUCAUUUUUUUUUUUUUUGCUACGGGCUUCAACAAUAUCUUUAUUUGACUUUUUAUUUAAAAACUCAACUUGAGCAUUAAAUCAACUGGAAAAUAUUUUUCUUACAAAAAUUUGUAAGACUUUAGUAUAUAAAUUAAAACAUGUAAUUAAAUAAUUAUAUGCAUACAAUAACACUUGUAGAAAAAUAAAUAAUGAGGAAUUUAAUUAAUUAAAUCACAAUCCAAAUUAACUUAAGUAAUUGGUUCAAUUAAUAAUUUAAAUGGGCAAAUCCAACAAAUAAAGAUGCAGCCCAAUUAUCUAAUUGAUAGCCCAAAGGCCCCAAACCAUGAGCCCAACUAAAAAUUAAUCCCAACUCAACUUAUAAGAACAAAAACGGCCCAGAAACUUUAGCCCAAUCCCUCUCUCUCUCUCUCUCCUCGUCUCUCUCUCUCUCUCUUCUUCUUCUNUCCACUACCUCUCUCUCUCUCUCUCCUCUUCGUUCUCUCUCUCUCUCUCCUUUCUUUCUUUCUGCAGAUGCACACCUCUCAUCAUCUGCCUCAUCUCUCCCUUCAAUCUACCACCGCCUACCCUCUUCUCGCCGUUGAUACGGCCACCACGACUACUCCCUCUUCUCGCUCUUCCUUUACCCCUUAAAAAUCACGAAAACCCCCAAAAAUCCCUAGCUUCUCUCUCCUCUUCGAUUUCCGGCGAGCUAGCCACCGCCUCCCUCCUUCAGCUGACAGCUACGGUCAGCCGGACCGUACCCAUCGCCGCCUCCCUCGUCUGACUCUCCAACUCAUCGCCGCCCCGCCCCUUUCCUUGACAGACGAACGGCCGCAGGCAUCGGCUACCACCGGUGGACCUCAAGGGCCGAGGCCGCCGAACAGACCCGCCGUCCAGCCGCCUCCCCUUUCUCUCUCUAUUUCUGGCAGACGGCCAGCAGGAGCAUCGGCCGCUGCCGCUGCCGCUGCCGCUGCCGCUGCCGCCGCCGAUCCUCCCUCCUAAUCUUCACCCCUCUCUCUCGGCGAGAAGCCGCCGCCAUCCAUCGGCGUCGCGGCCACAACGCCGCUGCCGACAGCAGCAGCAAAGCCGCUGAAAGCCUGCCUCCUCUGUUCUCCCUCGACCCCAACCUGCCCGACUCGCAACAACAACAACAGCUUCUAAAACUCACGCACACAGCAGCAGCACACACACACACAAAAAUAGCUUCUUUUGUUACAUCAAUUAAUUAGCUCAAUUGCAGAAAAAUGCAUCUGUCUACAUAAAUGUGGAUAUAUUAUAUAUAUAUAUAUAAUAUAUUCUCAAAGUCAAAUUGUCAUCCGUUGCAUUAUGUCUCAAGGUCCUCUGCAAAAAAAAAUGAUGGUUCUUGAAGUAGAUUAUUGAUUAUUGAAUGGAUGUGUGAGUUGGUUUACCUCUUGUGAAAUAAAUUGAUUUCUCCAGAUUAUGGGUGGGAGUGGGUUGCUGUAAAUUGAUGUUUGUGAUGGUAUUCGACUUUGCAAGAAAUUCUGAAGGGAUUGCGAAAGUUGUUCUUCAAAUUGGAAAUGAAGAAAAUAAGCUGGGAUUUGAUGGCAAGAGAAUUGCGUCUGUUAUAACAUUGCUGGAAAAUUGUGAAGAAGUUUCAUAGUGAAAUCGAAUUGGAGUAAGAUCUGUGAGGGUGAUUAGAAACGAUGAUGAAUCAUCUUGAAAUAGGAGGAAAAUGGGGAAGUGGAUGCACUCUCCAACCAAUAAUUAAAUCAGUAAAAAUGAAAAUAUCUGGAAUAGUAGUAAUACAAUUGGGCAUCUGAAUUAGGAAUCUGGCCCACAU
rnacentral:lncRNA from 1 species